CCUGCCCCUAGAAAUGUUGCUGGUGUGGCUGCUGUGUCAUGUGUGUAUUAGUAGAUAACAGAGAGGUUGGAGGCUAUGUCUAUGCUCAGUGUUCUGACCUAUGAACAUCUGAAUGAUGAGUAAUCUAACAUU